UGAGGAAUAUUGGGCAAUGCCCGCAAGGGUGACCCAGCAACGCCGCGUGGAGGAUGAAUGUCGUAAGAUUGUAAACUCCUGUUAGAGGGGAAGAAUAGUACCGGUUGGACCGGUAUAUGACUGUACCCUCAGAGAAAGCCCCGGCUAACUACGUGCCAGCAGCCGCGGUAAUACGUAGGGGGCAAGCGUUGUCCGGAUUUACUGGGUGUAAAGGGCGCGCAGGCGGGAUAAAAAGUCAGUGGUGAAAUCCUACAGCUUAACUGUAGAACUGCCUUUGAUACUUUUAUUCUUGAGUUCGGGAGAGAGUGACGGAAUUCCAGGUGUGGUGGUGAAAUACGUAGAUAUCUGGAAGAACACCAGUUGCGAAGGCGGUCUCUUGGUCCGACACUGACGCUGAGGCGCGAAAGCGUGGGGAGCAAACA
rnacentral:rRNA from 1 species